AGAGUUUGAUCAUGGCUCAGGAUGAACGCUAGCUACAGGCUUAACACAUGCAAGUCGAGGGGAAACGACAUCGAAAGCUUGCUUUUGAUGGGCGUCGACCGGCGCACGGGUGAGUAACGCGUAUCCAACCUGCCCAUCACUUGGGGAUAACCUUGCGAAAGUAAGACUAAUACCCAAUGAUAUCUCUAGAAGGCAUCUGAAAGAGAUUAAAGAUUUAUCGGUGAUGGAUGGGGAUGCGUCUGAUUAGCUUGGUUGGCGGGGUAACGGCCCACCAAAGCAACGAUCAGUAGGGGUUCUGAGAGGAAGGUCCCCCACAUUGGAACUGAGACACGGUCCAAACUCCCUACGGGAGGCA
rnacentral:rRNA from 1 species